AGUGAGCGCUGGCGGUAGACCUAACACAUGCAAGUCGAACGGCAGCACAGUAAGAGCUUGCUCUUACGGGUGGCGAGUGGCGGACGGGUGAGGAAUACAUCGGAAUCUACUUUUUCGUGGGGGAUAACGUAGGGAAACUUACGCUAAUACCGCAUACGACCUACGGGUGAAAGCAGGGGAUCUUCGGACCUUGCGCGAUUGAAUGAGCCGAUGUCGGAUUAGCUAGUUGGCGGGGUAAAGGCCCACCAAGGCGACGAUCCGUAGCUGGUCUGAGAGGAUGAUCAGCCACACUGGAACUGAGACACGGUCCAGACUCCUACGGGAGGCAGCAGUGGGGAAUAUUGGACAAUGGGCGCAAGCCUGAUCCAGCCAUACCGCGUGGGUGAAGAAGGCCUUCGGGUUGUAAAGCCCUUUUGUUGGGAAAGAAAAGCAGCAGGUUAAUACCCCGCUGUUCUGACGGUACCCAAAGAAUAAGCACCGGCUAACUUCGUG
rnacentral:rRNA from 1 species